rnacentral:rRNA from 1 species
GAUGAACGCUGGCGGCGUGCCUAAUACAUGCAAGUCGAGCGAAGCGGGGACGGGUGAGUAACACGUGGAUAACCUCCUAUAAGACUGGGAUAACUUCGGGAAACCGGAGCUAAACCGGAUACUUAUAGAUGGAUCCGCGCUGCAUUCGCUAGUUGGUAAGGUAACGGCUUACCAAGGCAACGAUGCAUAGCCGACCUGAGAGGGUGCUGGCGCACACUGGAAAUGCGACACGGUCAAGAAGCCUACGGGAGUCAGCAGUAGGGAAUGUUCCGCAGUGGGCGAAAGCCUGACGGAGCAACGCCGGGGUAGUUAUGAAGUUAUUCGGUUAUUAAAACUCUGUUAUUAGGGAAGCGGUCCCUAUUCAGAAAGCCACGGCUAACUACGUGCCAGCAGCCGCGGUAAUAC